rnacentral:rRNA from 1 species
GGUUUGGGUGGCGGACGGGUGAGUAACGCGUAAAGAACUUGCCUCACAGCUAGGGACAACAUUUGGAAACGAAUGCUAAUACCUGAUAUUAUGAUAAUAGGGCAUCCCAUAAUUAUGAAAGCUAUAAGCGCUGUGAGAGAGCUUUGCGUCCCAUUAGCUAGUUGGAGAGGUAACGGCUCACCAAGGCGAUGAUGGGUAGCCGGCCUGAGAGGGUGAUCGGCCACAAGGGGACUGAGACACGGCCCUU